rnacentral:rRNA from 1 species
UUUUGGACAAUGGGCGCAAGCCUGAUCCAGCAAUGCCGCGUGCAGGAUGAAGGCCUUCGGGUUGUAAACUGCUUUUGUACCGACCGAAACGGUCCGCCCUAAUACGGUGGGCUAAUGACGGUACCGUAAGAAUAAGCACCGGCUAACUACGUGCCAGCAGCCGCGGUAAUACGUAGGGUGCGAGCGUUAAUCGGAAUUACUGGGCGUAAAGCGUGCGCAGGCGGUUAUAUAAGACAGAUGUGAAAUCCCCGGGCUCAACCUGGGACCUGCAUUUGUGACUGUAUAGCUAGAGUACGGUAGAGGGGGAUGGAAUUCCGCGUGUAGCAGUGAAAUGCGUAGAUAUGCGGAGGAACACCGAUGGCGAAGGCAAUCCCCUGGACCUGUACUGACGCUCAUGCACGAAA